AUGCAGUCGAGCGGACAGAAGGGAGCUUGCUCCCGGAUGUUAGCGGCGGACGGGUGAGUAACACGUGGGUAACCUGCCUGUAAGACUGGGAUAACUCCGGGAAACCGGAGCUAAUACCGGAUAGUUCCUUGAACCGCAUGGUUCAAGGAUGAAAGACGGUUUCGGCUGUCACUUACAGAUGGACCCGCGGCGCAUUAGCUAGUUGGUGGGGUAAUGGCUCACCAAGGCGACGAUGCGUAGCCGACCUGAGAGGGUGAUCGGCCACACUGGGACUGAGACACGGCCCAGACUCCUACGGGAGGCAGCAGUAGGGAAUCUUCCGCAAUGGACGAAAGUCUGACGGAGCAACGCCGCGUGAGUGAUGAAGGUUUUCGGAUCGUAAAGCUCUGUUGUUAGGGAAGAACAAGUGCGAGAGUAACUGCUCGCACCUUGACGGUACCUAACCAGAAAGCCACGGCUAACUACGUGCCAGCAGCCGCGGUAAUACGUAGGUGGCAAGCGUUGUCCGGAAUUAUUGGGCGUAAAGGGCUCGCAGGCGGUUUCUU
rnacentral:rRNA from 2 species